UCCCCGUUAACCGGGGCAGUCCCCCUAGAGUUCCCGGCCUGACCCGUUGGCAACUAGGGGCGAGGGUUGCGCUCGUUGCGGGACUUAACCCAACAUCUCACGACACGAGCUGACGACAGCCAUGCAGCACCUGUGUCGGCUCCCCUUGCGGGGUCGGGCCCCUUUCGGUUUCCUACCACCUGUACACCUGCCCCGAAGGGCUGCCGUAUUUCUACGACAUUCAGGUGCAUGUCAAGCCCUGGUAAGGUUCUGCGCGUUGUAUCGAAUUAAACCACAUGCUCCACCGCUUGUGCAGGCCCCCGUCAAUUCCUUUGAGUUUCGGUCUUGCGACCGUACUCCCCAGGCGGAGUGUUUCACGCGUUAGCUGGGCCCCUGAUCCACGUAGACCAAGGGCGAACAC
rnacentral:misc_RNA from 1 species